rnacentral:tRNA from 1 species
GCCCCUAUAGUUCAAUGGAUAAAAUUUUUCCUUGCGGAGGAAAAGAUCGAGGUUCGAAUCCUCGUGGGGGCA